rnacentral:rRNA from 1 species
UACGUAGGGGCCGAGCGUUGUCCGGAGUUACUGGGCGUAAAGCGCGCGCAGGCGGCGGUUCAAGCCCGACGUGAAAGCCCCCGGCUCAACCGGGGAGGGUCGUCGGGGACUGGGCCGCUUGAGGUCGGCAGGGGCUGGUGGAAUUCCCGGUGUAGUGGUGAAAUGCGUAGAGAUCGGGAGGAACACCCGUGGCGAAGGCGGCCAACUGGGCCGGACCUGACGCUGAGGCGCGAAGGCGUGGGGAGCGAACGGGAUUAGAAACCCCAGUAGUCC